GCCGCAGCCUCUGCAUUGCCUGCAGAGGAAUCCUGCAACCCACGCCCACCCUGCACCUUGGCGCUUACCAGGGCACCGGCUCUUCGGAAUCGCUCGCAACCUUUUGUUGUUUCCUAUCUUUUUCAUCUGAACCUCUCCAGUUGCCCCAUAAACAUUAAUGAAGUGUUUCAGUAUGCAUCUGUAGGCUAGGGAAAAUGUCAGUAUUCCUCUUUUAUAGAUGAUGAAAGUACAGAAUAGAGAGGAAAAGCAAAUAGUGGCAGGUUUCCUGAACGAUCUUAAUCUUCUGCUUGAAGCGUUGCAUCGCGCUUCCUGUUGAUGCAGAGCGUUUCCCCCGAUAGCCUUCGUUAUGUUGUUGAUUCACAUGAUUGAGGUGAAUGAAAUUAUUGGAGUUACUUAGCUAGGUGGUCAGGCAGCCUAGGUUUUUCCAUACUCUUGGUUUUGCUUUGUUGUUUUAAUUUAAUUGCUAGAAUGAAUCAAGGCUUAAUUAAGGUGAUAAUUAGAUUUUCGAGUGUUCCUGAGAUGAAACGGUAUUCCUACAGAGAUCCACAGACAGUUGAAAAUAAAUGCUCAGGCAGGGAAAAAUGGGAGCUGGAAGCUUUUGGGCGUACAGACAUAGACAUGCACCCCCAGAUAGGCACCGCUGACAGCUCGUCAAGCAGCCUCACAUAAUGAGCUGUUGCCCAUCGUCUCCCGUAGCCUGCAUAAGUGGCAAGUACUUGGGCAACUUCUGGGAUCUGCUGGAAAUUUCUAACAGGAGCUGAUGCUGAGCGCAUCGGAGGAGGCAUGGGAAACGCUUGGGUAGGGGUUUCAUCCGCGUUGGCACAUGCAGGGAUUGUAAGCUUUGAAAAAUAGAAACAAACCUGCCAGGGAAGCAGGAAAGCUUAUGUAUGUGUGUUGGAGCAGGCCCAUAUGGGAAAGUGUCACACAGAAUCGAUCACCGAAUGGCAAGGGUUGGAAGGGACCUCGGGAGAUCAUCUAGUCCACCCCCCUGCUAAAGCAGGCUCACCCAGAGCAAGUUGCACAGGACAUCAUCCAGGGGAUACUACAGGUAAAGGAGCAAACGCCACGAGGCUGGUGGAGACUUCCAGCAACGUGCCUGGUUUCCAACUCGCCUGCUGACGUUUGUAAUCCUGGCGGGUAGCGCUGAAGGCAUGUUCCUGUGGUUAACUCCCUCGGUGCGCGCCAUUUCCCAUUUCUGAUUAAUUGGUCUCAUGUAAUUGCUUUUGAAUUGCCUCUUGCUUUCUUCUGCGCCUUCUGAACUGCAGGGCUGAGGUCUCCCGGCUCGCGGGGUGCUCUGUCUGCCAGAGCCACAAGCAAUGGCUUUAGCUCAUCCUCAUCAACAUCUGUGUCCUCGCUGGCUAUCUGGACUCUUAGAAAACGUGACCGUAGGAAUUGCUAUCGAGACAUUCUGCAAUGAACAUUUUAAGUUAAUUAGAGAGUGAAAAUGCUGGAAACAAAGGAGAGGAGCUACUUUGCACAAUUUCCAGUGAUUUUACAGACUGAAUUUCAAACUUUAGAAACCUGCCAUGGGAAGGGGCCACGGGUGAAGCUGGGGGCUGAUCUGCUCAGCUGGUGUCACAGGGAGCGGCCAAAGCUGGAACCAGUUCCUGAAGCUUUCAUGGUUUUGGUGGCUCACCAGGACUUUGGUUCAAGACAUCAGACUCUAAUCAAUGAGUUUUGGGAGAUGCACACGCAGCCACACGGACCUUCUCAAAUAGUGUCUGUCUGCCAAUAAGGAGCUGGUCUGUCUGCCCCAUCGCGUCAGUGAUCCCAUGUGCUGGAGAGGAUGCAGGUCUGCAUUCCUGGGCACGGUGGGUUUCCCCAGUGGAGCUUUAUCAUCUCCUGGCUGCGCGGUUCGUUUCUGGCUUGGGGAUGAAGGGCAAAGAGCAGAAACUCGCAGUGCGCAGCCCGAGCAUUGGGAGACGCUGCGUCUGCUCCGCUCCUGCCCCAGCCCGACACCCCAUGCGGCUUUCAAGCAAGUCACUCCAUCCCUUUGCAUUGCCGUACCUCGCCAUCCUCGUCCAGGGUAAUUACAGCCUCCUUGCUCGCAGGGCGCUGGUAGGGGAACUUCAAGCUUCGGUGGUGGAUCCGCACAUCGAAGCGGAGCCCUGCAUGCCGUGCUGUGCUCCGUGAGGGGAAGCAGCUUGUGGGAAAGGUAUGAGCCGGAGAAACAAGAGGUGACUUGAAAAAGCUGCUGCAGGCUCCAAGGAGGCUGAGGAAGGGAGGUCCUGAGGUGGAACUGCACGAAACCGUGGGAGCUGUUGUGCAGAUGGAGGCCAGGGUGCGUUGCUGCUGGGCGAUGCAGCUCCUGGGAUGGGACUCAGGGUUUGGGAGGCACCGUCUCUGUGCCUUUAUCUCUGACACCCUGGCCCUCACUUCUAUUUCAAAGCAUGCCUGGGUGCUGCACCCUGUUAAGUAGUGUAUCUGGGAAAUAAUCAGCCAGAGGCUGGAGCUUAUCCCCGUGCCAGAGCUGUCUCUUGGAUCUUCAGCGGCACGGAACUCCCCGGCUUGCAAGCCCUGCAUUAGUCACUUUGUGGUGCUCCAAGCCUUUACACGGGACGAGGCGCUGGGAAGCCUGCGAGUCCCAGCGUGGUCGGACACCGCCAGCUGGUUCUUGUUACAAGCUGGAUGGCGUGUGAGCGCUUGAUACGUGGUUUAUACCCAGAAGAGGCAUGGGGUGAAGCCAAAGCUGGGAAACGUUCCCCAUGGACGUGGGGCUGCGGAGGAGGUUCCUAGUGGAGCAGCGGUUGAUGGAUGGUCUGCACACCCAGCAGCUCCAGUGCUCCCAACUGGCAGCUGGGUGACGACCACAGGAAAGCUCUGGCCAUCCGGCGGCUGUUGGGUGUCUAACGUGGCAAGGGGACACCGCUGGGAAAGGUGGAAGAAAGACACUCAAGUUAGUCCUGAGUCUGAAUUCAGGUUCACAGCCACAUGCUUUGCAGUCAGUAAAGAUUAAGAUCUUAAUUUUGGCAUUUCUUGUGCAUUCUGCAGCCAGAACAUGGCCCAGGUCUGCUCUCUGUAAGAGCCUUGGGAACACUGGUGUGCCAGGGGUGUAUUUUUAGGUCACUUCCAGAGAAGUGGGCUCAUUUCCAUGGAACCAGCCAACCACCUCGGCAGUCAGCUGUGUUGUAAUGGGGAUGGAGAACAGUUUCCACCGUGCAUCGUCUCGCUGUCGAAGGUUUUGACCUUGCUCACACGUCUGUUACUUGAUUUAUCUUCACUGAUGUUCAGACUCCGACCCUACCAAGAUCAUUAUCAGACCAUCUCCGGAUUUCAGUGGCCAAGCACUCAAAAGCAGGGGCCCCCAGCAAGGGCUUCCUCUGUCUAACACAAAAUAAAGGCUGAACUAAUUCAUCUCAUUUCAACCCCUCUCUUCAGGAGGGCUCUUUGCCCUCCUGGAACCACCUGGUUCAUUAGAAAUUGGGCUUUUGAAUGUAUUAGAAAUGUAGACUUUAUAUUCCCACAGGCACGUGGGUGUGUGGCAGAACGAAUGUGCAUCUUGUACCUUAAUAAUCUCAUAUUCUGGGGUCGUCAGACUUCUUGAAGGAGGCUUGAAACAGGGACCGGCUUUAUCUCACACCAGGCAUUGGGUCCUCGCUUAACUAACUGUGCAACUCCACAUAGAUUUCUCAGUGUAAAAUAUAGUCCUGUACAAUAAUCAGAUAUUAUUCAGAAAAUAUUUGGUAAGUAACAUCUGCUGCACUGAAAAUUAAAUUAAGGGUAUUAAAUGGGAGUUUAAAGAAAACAGGUUUUGGGGUGAAAAAAUCUUCAAAGGUACCUAUUUUAGUUCAGAUUUCAAAUUCAAAUUUCCUUAAAGAUGUUGGCAGGAUUCGUUUCUCCUUUGUAACAUACUUGUUCAUAUAUGCCAUUAUACUGCUCCCUUCAAGCUGGAUAUUAUACUGGAAUACAGCAAAAGACAAAUUUAAGAUAUGAAACUGGGGAAGACCAUAUUUCAUACUGCAUAAAAUGCACCUCUGGAAUUUUCAGUUCUUCUUUUCUGCAGUAUUACAAAUGCCUUUAUAAAGUUAUCAUGGCUGAUGAACUAAAAAAAAAAAAAAUA